GAUGAAGAACGCAGCGAAACGCGAUAAGUAAUGUGAAUUGCAGAAUCCAGUGAAUCAUCGAAUCUUUGAACGCACAUUGCGCCCGCCAGCAUUCUGGCGGGCAUGCCUGUUCGAGCGUCAUUUCAACCCUCGACCUCCCCUUGGGGAGGUCGGCGUUGGGGACCGGCAGCACACCGCCGGCCCUGAAAUGGAGUGGCGGCCCGUCCGCGGCGACCUCUGCGCAGUAAUACAGCUCGCACCGGGACCCCGACGCGGCCACGCCGUAAAACACCCAACUUCUGAACGUUGACCUCGAAUCAGGUAGGACUACCCGCUGAACUUAAGCAUAUCAAUAGCGGAGA
rnacentral:misc_RNA from 1 species